rnacentral:rRNA from 1 species
GGACGACGCUGGCGGUGUGCUUAACACAUGCAAGUGGAGCGACGAACCAGAGCUUGCUCUGGGGCAGAGCCGCGAACGGGUGAGUAACACGUGGGUAACGUACCCCGAUUACCCGGGGACAACCCGAGGAAACUCGGGCUAAUACCGGAUGUGCUCCUCCCCAUGAGGGGAGUGAGUAAAGGAAGCUUCGGCCUCCGAAUCGGGAGCGGCCCGCGGCCUAUUAGUUGUUGGUGGGGUAACGGCCUACCAAGACUGCGAUAGGUAGCUGGUCUGAGAGGACGAUCAGCCACACUGGGACUGAGACACGGCCCAGACUCCUACGGGAGGCAGCAGUGGGGAAUCUUGCGCAAUGCGCGAAAGCGUGACGCAGCAACACCGCGUGGGGGAAGACGGCCUUCGGGUUGUAAACCCCUUUCAGGAGGGACGAAGGCCGGCCGGUGAAUAGCCGUGCCGGUUGACGGUACCUCCACAAGAAGCCCCGGCUAACUACGUG